CCUACGGGUGGCAGCAGUGAGGAAUAUUGGUCAAUGGGCGCGAGCCUGAACCAGCCAAGUAGCGUGAAGGAUGACUGCCCUACGGGUUGUAAACUCCUUUUAUAAAGGAGUAAAGUGAGGCACGUGUGCCUUUAUGUAUGUACUUUAUGAAUAAGGAUCGGCUAACUCCGCUCCAGCAGCCGCGGUAAUACGGAGGAUACGAGCGUUAUCCGGAUUUAUUGGGUUUAAAGGGAGCGUAGAUGGGUUGUUAAGUCAGAUGUGAAAGUUUGCGGCUCAACCGUAAAAUUGCAAUUGAUACUGGCAGUCUUGAGUACAGUUGAGGUAGGCGGAAUGCGAGGUGUAGCGGUGAAAUGCGUAGAUAUAACGAAGAACUCCGAUUGCGAAGGCAGCUUACUAAUCUGCCACUGACAUUGAUGCUCGAAAGUGUGGGUAGCAAACAGGAUUAGAUACCCGUGUAGUC
rnacentral:rRNA from 1 species